AUACAUGAAAGUCACGUAUUUAAAUUGCGGGUUGAAAGGAAGUUUGAGUAACCGUAACGCGACUUCAGUGUUGCAACGUAGAAAGCCUGGAAAAAU